GAAGGAAGGCCCUUCGCAGCCGGCGAUCAGGAGUUGGCUGCAAACCACCGCGUGCUGCUGUUGUUAAGAGCGAUGGUGGUGAGCGACGCGGAAAAGGCGGGACGAGAUUCCGUCAGGU
rnacentral:ncRNA from 1 species